GCGAACGUGGCUGGAGUUCGUUCCAGUAUAGAGCAUGCACGGUGGCUGGCUCGUUUUUUGCUGGAUUCAUGCGGUGCCCAUUCGGUGCUCUUCCACGACAGUUCAAAAGAGGUGCAGCAGAAACCAUCCUGCGUCUCCAGGAAGUCAAAGAUCUCUGAACAAUCCUGGCUUCUGGAAUCAAACUUACAGGAAACGAAAAUAUCCUCGCAUCUGGGCGUCAACUGUUUUACAUGGAAGACAAUAUUUUCAUUACACCCAAUAUCAACUUUAUAAGUUUCGUGCAAAUCCAGCCAAAUUUUGACACUGCACGCAAAUUCCACGCAAAUUCAUGUAUCUCUACGGAUACGAUAUACUAUAAAAUUACCUCCUGGCACCCUAUGGACAAUGGUAGUGAUAAAUAUCACCGUAUAUCAUAUUACGAGUCAUUUGCAAUUAGUGAUCGAGCUAUACGAAAUACAAGCGUUGCUCUCGUUAGACUUUUAAUAGCAUUAUUCCCAUCGGUAUUUGCGAGACCGAUAGCGGCGGCAUUUAUCAAUACAAAAUUUGCACGAGUCGCGUACCUAUUAACGUCUGCGAUUUUAAAAUCGCAAACAUGAAUAAAGCCCUUUUUUGAACGUAAAACUCUUACAUGUUUCUCGCUAGUCUCGUCGCAGCUUCUCGACUUAUUCGAUUUAUGCUGCAUACAGCUACUCCUGGAGAAAUUAAUAUUUUAGGAAAUUCUAUCAAAACGGCGAAUACCUUGGUUUUAUCUUACCGGGAAAUUGCAGAUUAUACGAUGGAUAGUAAUGAGUGUCCAGUGUCGUUACUAUUGGACUUUGGAGAUACUGCCCAUAGAUUGUAUACACGGUGUGUCCAAGAUGCAGUAGGACUUAUCAAUCACAUUAGACGACACGUAUCCUCAUGAAAUACUCAGGCUUUCCCUAUCAGCCAAUCAAAAGAUCAUCAUGAACUUCCCAUCAGUUUGUCAAUAUUAAAUGAUAAAUAACAGGAAAUGAGAAUUAUAGCCAUUACACUAGUGGCACCAGGUGUCUCUAAGUUAGAUGUUUAAACCAGAAUAAUAGCCGAGCAAUCAUCUUCGACUGCCUCUGAUACUUUAUUUCUUUUCAUAGAUCCAUUUGCGGUUUGCAGUUUAUCAAGCGGAAAUGGCAAGAAUAUCCCACGAUUGACCGUUGUUCAGUGAUCGUGAACAGAGAACUGCACUUGGGAAAAAUGGUGAUAAAUGGUACAAGCAUUUGUAGGAUACUGUCACUUAUCUGCCAUGCAUCGGCCUUAAACCUUGACCCAGAACAAGUAAUCUAACCUUAUCUGAAAAUACGUAUCUGGAUUGCCUUGCGUGCAGAAAGUGGCGCUGAUUCAAAUGAAGACCACGCACUGUCAGUAUCAAGCGAUCAACUACACCCUGUGUGUUGGAAAGCUGCACUUUUUCACAGAAUGCAAAUGUGUCAAGUGGAUUAAUUAAAUAAUACGUUCAGCAAGAGUAUAGCCUGGAGUUUGUGCAAACUAAACUGAUGAUGCAGGAAAACCAAAGAGAGGACGAAUUAAUUUCACUAAAUUCUCCUACUAUUGUCAUUGAAUAUGAAAUGCUGUUCACUAUAAAUAUUCAAGCUGCUGACGUCACGUUAGAAUCUGAGACUUUCUUUAGAAACCUUCUCGACAGUGAAAAUUCAAAUCCGGCCUCUUAUUCGGACAAAUUUUGAAAUCUGAUAUUGGGCAUCUUCCGUUGAAGACAUUACACGUUGUAAAACAGAGGAACUGCGCAGUUGGGAUUCAUUCGAAGGUAUUUUAAGCAUUCGACUCUACCAAAGCAACGUCACAUAAAUCUCCAAAGGGUGGAAUCACACGCGGCACAAUUCAUUCUAUAAAACGUGCUCAACCGGUCUACCUAACUGAACAGGACGAACCGGAGUGCCGUCACUGUGAAUCCAGCAUAAAUCGAGGAAAACUCUGUGGCUUUCGUCCCGGUAGAAUCGGCCGAUUACCCGAUUAACAUAAAUUAAUCAAAUAACAUUCGGAGAUAGUCGUAAGCGACGCUUCGGUUUACCGGAAGUUAUAUUAUAUCAUGGCGCUGACAGUAGCUAUACCUAUCUGCGUAUAAAUAUUAUUAUGUUAAAGUGCAGGGCACCAUGAUAAUACGUAUACGUUACUGCACUUUAUUAUUUAUACAUUGAAAGAGCAACAAGACUGCUCCGUAUCAAAAGCUAAUGGCUGUAUGGAUGAGCGUCGGAGAAUUUCCGGCGCAACAAUAGGAAAAUCCACCGUCACGCCAUGGUCGGGCAUUGUUGGAUAAUAAAUCGAAUCGACGAAAUAAGCCAGAUAUUUUCACGGGGCUCGAUUGGCUCCCGCUAUUUUUCCAUUAUUCAAAGACCCCACGGGAAAUUGAUUCCGGGCGAUUAGGUAUCGCGUAUACAGAAGACAGGCUUUGGAAGGAGCCUAGAUCUUAAAAUGGUGGUUGGACUCGAGUGCAAUUGGUGCGAGAGUUGGCUGUCUGGGGCAUAAACGCUUUUCAAAAAUUACACCCUUCUCGACGUCCCGCCGCCAUUCUACUGCUUACAUUUUUUUCUUUUCUUCGACGGGUUUUUCGUACCAAGUACUUUUCAUCGACAUGGCUGAUAAAGAUUUCCUCAGAAACGCCCUCAUAAUUCUCCUUCCUCGAUUCAUUCAGCUGGCAGCUUUCGUUUGACGUCAGAAAUUCCUUUUAUUGGCUUUGUAUUGAAAAUGGCGCGCAUUUCAAAUUUGUCAGACGUUAUUAAGCGAUAUUCAUCCUGUCCUACAGUCAGGGCGAAUCGCGGUCUGCCGUAUGAACUGGGUCAACUGUGUACCUACCUCAACUCCUACUCAACAGUAUUGAAUAACGCCAUUGAAGUACUCUAGAUAACCUUAGCUAUCUACUGUUACGUGAUUUUUUUGACUUACUUCGAUCCCCUGGGGAAGCAGCCGUGGAGGAUCUACCGAUUUGUUACGUACCGAUUCGCUAAGAAAUGCUUUGGAUUUAGUUCGAAGGGACGACUCUAGGGAAAGAAUAAGAGUUAUCGGCUAUAAGGAUCUCGACCAAUCAGAAUCAUUAAUCUUCGAAUUUGACUAUUUUGAAAGUCAGUCUGUCUUCGGACACCGAUCGGGGUGCCUCGAGCUGCCUCGCGCUCCCUUUGCUGUCUGUUGACAGUUUUUCUAGCCGUCUUUCCUAUACGGCAUAGAAAACUCUCACUUGUGUAGUUCUCGCGUUGCUCUCGCAAUACAUAUACAGAAAAUCCUAUCGAUUUUCUGCGCGUGUUUCGAAAGUGCAGUGUUGUGCUAUAGUGCAGUGGUCGACCCGAGUGUCCCCUGGAUGCAGUUCUCAGCCUUCACGGAUCAGCCGAUCCAGCUCCGGUGAGCACUCCCAAUUUAUUAGUUGGUGGAGGGAUUUCGAUUUUAUACCUCGGAUUCGUUCUGUUACGUUCUCGAUCAAUUUUUACCAAAAUACGUUACGAUAAAUAUUAAUAUUUUCAAUCGAAGCUGCAUUGCAAUCUGGCUGUCGUUCUUCCGGCCACUUUCAGCCUCCAGCUUCUAGGUUCUCUCCUCUUGCUCUUCCAAUCUGUUCCAAAUCUCUUGAUCUUGUCUGAUCUCAUCUCAGCUGUCAAUCAGGGUAAUAGCCAAUUUUGUAAUUAAUACUUCUGAACAGAAUGAUUUAUGGCGUAAUACACAUCUGGGUCACGGCCAGUUUGAAUUCCAUUCUCAUUAUCUCUAUUGUGGUCCAGAUUUGUUGGUCUUGGAUUCUGUAUAGAUGAACUCUCUAAACAGAGUCUCGGCUCUAUCGUUGGCCUUUAGAUUUCAAUUGACAAAACUCCACAAAAGUACAAUAAUUAUGAAUUUUAUAAACGUUAAUUAAUGUAUCAAGAUUAUAUAUAUUUGGUACUUUGAUAUCGAGUACAGAUAUAAUUAAUAGCAUAGUUAAUUAAUCCAGGAUCGAAAUUGAAAUAUAUUUCUAAAGGUAAAAAUUAAAUUGAAUUACAUACUUAAACGAUAACGUAAAGCAUAAGAAAAUUUAUUAUAAAAUUUUUAUUAUUUCAUUAAGUGUUUUCGCUUAUGUUUAUAUGCUCGUUUAUAUUGAAAAAUUGAUCUAGUAUUCCAUUACGGACAUUUACCUCGGAACAGGAAGUUAUUGCAAAUUUACGACACUAAGUUUCCAAAAGUUUCAAACAACUGACAAAGUUUCGUAAGGAGAUUUUAAUUACAUGCUUUUCAACGAUAUCGGUUCUUUUUUCCUUCCUUUCAGCCAACAAACUCGAUUGUACGUAAUAGUCCCGUUAUGAAGAGUCAAGGGGAAAAGGAACUCGUAAAAUAAACUUGAGAAUUAAAAUCAAAGUUAAAAAAAUCUCAUCGAAGAUCAUUUCGAUUGGCUAUUAAUUAACGUGAAAUUUUAUUUCACGCAAACGACCAACGUAUUUAAUUUCUUCGUCCCAAUCUUGAUCGCUAGAGUUAUUUUUUUUUCUUAAUCCACAUAUGGGAUAAAAGAUUCAAAAAGAAAUCUUUUCCUCUUCGUCGUUGCCAUAGCAACGUCUUGGACUGAAAUGAACGUAAAAUAAAACGAGGCUCAGCAGUCAGUAUGUAAAUGGGUAUUUGAGCUUUGAGCACAAAGUCGAAAGCUCUGGCCAGUAAGUGUCGUUAAAGCUUCGGUAUACCCGAGUGACUCGGCAAGAAUCGAUCCGAGCAAAAUGCAAAGCAAAUGGCCAUGAGAAAAUUCCAAUAGUUUUAAGCCCUGAACAUUUGAAUAUCAUAGUGACGCGAUACCUCGCGUCCUACGUAUUCAUACCACGUGUAGUCGCGUUCUUUACGCGUUAUCCCGUAAUGGAAACCGGCAACGUCUUUUCAUUCCCAAAUAAUUCGGCCCAUCGGGUUCGGUAAUUUCCUACAGAAAUUUCAGACCCUUUAGAAACUUCUAGACAAGUAACAGCGUUGUUGGUUCUCUUGCGUAACCAUGAUCUACAUUACAUGAGAAGUUUGCGCUAAGGCACAUUCGUAACUUUGUCCUGGAACAAUAACAAAACUCGUGCCAUCCGUCUUUCUAUGUAAAAUAAAAAAACUGAAAAACAUUUCAAAAAAAAAAAAAAAUUUAAUUAUAACGAGGAUUACAUUGAACGGCAAAUCAACGAAGAAAAAAAAUUUUCGUUGAAAUUUUUUUCGUUCGAAAUUUGAAUUGCACCGAACCAAAGGACUUUGGUGCGAGUUGAGAAUAAAAAUGAUAUUAAAGGAAUACAAAUUGCGAGGAAGCGCCCGCUCGUUGCCAUAACAGCUCACUUGCGAAAUUCUGCUUCGCAAAAGUAUCGUAAUUGCAUUCCGCGACCUUUUUUUUCCCCCCUAAUGGAAGGUGCUAACCACCGGCUGCAGCCCACCUUCGCUCCGUGCAGUCAAAGUGUAUUCUGCAAGCUCGUAAAAGCUUGUUGCUCAACGUACGGCUUGACAAAAUACGAGAACAAAAGAAAGAAAAACAGCAGCGGUCCCGCAAUCCUUUUACCCAUCAUUCGUCACGGCACAACUAGUGCGCGGGCCGCACCGAAGCCAAGAGAGUAAAAUAUAAAAUGCGAGACGCAGCACAGAUUUCGCUCGGUCGUUAAGACAAACUCGAUUACGAUUUUACGAGACGUUCGUUUCAUCCAAAACCCACCGCACUCGUCAGGGCAGACCCUGCAAAUCUUUUUGGAACGAUCUCACGAAUCCACUGCCAAUUGCCAACCGGCCCCGAUAAAGAUCUGCGUCUGCGCCUAAUAUAACCUCAAAAGUAAUUAAAACCACACGUGUUCGAAAGACAGAUGGGAAAGGCUACAGAGAUUUCAUCGUUGCAUAGAAACAAGCCUUAAGGCGGACAAGUGUUUUUUAAAAACAUAGAUGCUAAAUAUAGUACCUGGUAAAGGAGAAGGAUAGACGUUUCAAUUGUACCGUUGAAGCAUAUAGCGAGAGAGAAGCGAUAUAUCUUUUUUAAUAUUCCAGUAGCAGUAGAAAAAAAAAGAAAGAAUUUGCGUAACAUAUUCAAAUAUAAUAAUAUACAUUGCGUAUCGUCUAAACGAAACCCACGGGCUCCCAGGAGGAAACUCUUUGAAAAAUGUAAAACGUUGAAACCGUCAAGAUGGAAUAUACAUGUGACUUUAAGCCGUAACCGUCACCGCGUUACGUUUUCACGUGAUGAUAUGGUGCAUUCGCAAGUAACUGCGACUCGAGCGACGGGAUAAAAUUUUUAUACUCCGUGGACCAACUUUUCUCUUUGUCUUAUCGAUCAAUUCCACCCGUUGUCUUUCUUCCCGGCGAAACAACUUUUAUGUGACCAAUCUUAUUAUCCCUAUCGGAACACCGGAAUACCGCUGACAAUAUUCUUACAAUCUAAUCAUUUUUCUUCGGGCAUUCCUUACCUAUCUCUGCUCCUCCUUUAUCCAGGGUUCCUCUAUACUAUUUCGACAAUCCGAUUCCUCCCAUAGAGAAACUCUAGGAUAACGAGCGAGUAAGAGGUAACGUCUGAAGCACUUUAGCAAACUACGUUUCUCCGGAGUUUCAGCUUGGGGCGAGUCUUCGACUUACUAUACUAUAGUUAUACGUGUAUGUAUAAUAAUAAUUAGUUACAAGGAAGAUAAUUUAAUACCGACCAUCGCACUAUGGAUACACGAGCCAAGGACGAUACGUGCUACAUGGAAUCCUAUAUUGUAAUAUAAUAUUAUAAUAAUCAUACAUUAUCAGUACCAGGGAUGCUGUCUGCUAAUUCCAACCACAAAACUUACACGACAAAGUCUUGAGGAGAAAUGAAUCCCAGGAGUCCUGUGUCUCUUCGAUGAGAAAUUUAAUUUUCUCGAUAGGAGCUUCCCAGCGGCUCUCCUACAGGAAUAAAGGUAUCCUUACCCAAGGACUCCACAUGCAAACAGAACUUGAUCUUUUAUCUAUCCUAUUGACGGUACUACCUUCAGUCUGGCGAAACUCUGGCGAAACAUCAAUAAAACCCACGCAGUCCCAUGACCAUCGACGCUACCAGCUCGUUCGUUACCUUCCCCUUGAUCCUUCCUCUUCUAUGACAAACUCCUCUUCUCUGCCUUCUUUAUACCCGUCAAGAAAAUCUUCCAGGAGAUACAUUUCUCCUGAUCUCCACUAUACCUUUGUCAAUCCUGUACAAAAUCCUUUGGAAGAUAAAAGUACGUAGUUCAUCCUCUACCCGUACCCUUAGAAUACCUAGUGUCAUCAGACUCUUUUGUUCCUCCAGCUUCCAAACGGUCCAUUUAGCCGUAUCACUUUCAGAGCAAUCCGGUCCAUAGGUCUCAGGGAGUGCCUGAGGACUAACAAAUGGUUUUCUGAAAAAUCGGAAGGACCAAAUCGAGUGCCCCUGUAGUCACGAAUGGGACAAUUUCCCUUCUGGUGGCUCGUUCAUCCGUGUCCCGCUGACGUACAGGAUGGGAUUUCUCAUCUUAUAUCGUUAACAACAUAUCUCCUACGGGGAUGUCGACCGGACGUCAGUCAAUCGAAGACCCGAGAUUACGUUCAACCCGAAAGCCUUGCGCAGCGCCUGAAUUCCCUAAGCAAAAAAAAAGUCUCAUCCGUCAAACGGCCCGAAACACUUAUCGGAAC